rnacentral:piRNA from 1 species
UGAGAAUUGGAUGAAAGGAGCAGGGAGAA